UUGUUGUCAUCAGUUCAUGUUCAUCUCUUGUUUGACCCAUAAAACGCGGUAUAGAAACAAGCUAAAGAGAAAUAACAUGCAAUCAAUCAGACAUUGGAACGAUAGAGAGAUGAAGUUACUACAUACCUUGGAAAUGCAAAGAACGACAGAGAACGGCGGAGGGGUUGUGGUUCUUCGACGGAGUAGGGUUUGAAGGAGAACAACCGAGAGAUUGACGGAUUGUGCUUCCAGAUUAAACAGCGGCGGAGGAGAAUAAACGGUGGCGGAGGAGAUUGAACAGCGGAGGAGGAUUGACGGCGGCGUAUUGUGCGAUUAGGUGUCGCAAUCGUCUCACUCAUUUUGCUUUUC
rnacentral:lncRNA from 1 species